rnacentral:sRNA from 1 species
AGCCUGAAGCGGAAGUGGAGGAAAGAUGGAGGUGUGGGGACAGGAGAUGGGUGUGCUGGGGACUGGCCGCGGACCCCUAACCUAUGUCCCCGGUAUCCCUCCGGGAGCGGCUCAACCCAGCCCAUCGCUCUGGCCCCGUUCUGGCCCUGCAGGGUGGUGGUUGGGACCGUGAAAUGAGCGCGCGAGUGGUACGUCCGCUCUCCGCGCUCACGCCCCCCCCCCACCGUGUUUCCCGCCAGGACCAUCAGCACGUGCCCAUCGACAUCCAGACCAGCAAGCUGCUCGAUUGGCUGGUGGACAGAAGGCACUGCAGCCUGAAAUGGCAGAGUCUGGUGCUGACGAUCCGCGAGAAGAUCAAUGCUGCCAUCCAGGAUAUGCCAGAGAGCGAAGAGAUCGCCCAGCUGCUGUCUGGGUCCUGUGAGUGCUUAGGGGCUGUCACUGGAGUCCCCUCUUUGCUGAGGUAGUAUGUAUCAGCUGAGCUACUCUCUUGUUAUUUAGCCACCAGGGCUGGCCUGUAGAGAGGGAGCGAUUUUUAUUUGAGGUAUAGAUACUGGCUUCUUGCACUAUGAAAUGAUUA